GGCUCAGGAUGAACGCUAGCGGCAGGCUUAACACAUGCAAGUCGAGGGGCAUCGGGAGUAGCAAUACUGCCGGCGACCGGCGCAAGGGUGCGUAACGCGUGAGCAACAUGCCCGUAUCAGGGGGGAUAAUCCAUGGAAACGUGGUCUAAUACCCCAUAGUAAUUAUGUAAGGCAUCUUAUAUAAUUUAAAGCUUUGGUGGAUACGGAUUGGCUCGCGUGACAUUAGCUAGAUGGUAAGGUAACGGCUUACCAUGGCUACGAUGUCUAGGGGUCCUGAGAGGAAGGUCCCCCCACACUGGAACUGAGACACGGUCCAGACUCCUACGGGAGGCAGCAGUGAGGAAUAUUGGACAAUGGAUGGAAAUCUGAUCCAGCCAUGCCGCGUGCAGGAAAGACGGCCCUAUGGGUUGUAAACUGCUUUUGUAUGGGAGCAAUAAGGGCUACGCGUAGUCCGAUGAGAGUACCAUACGAAUAAGCACCGGCUAACUCCGUGCCAGCAGCGGC
rnacentral:rRNA from 1 species